rnacentral:rRNA from 1 species
GAUAAACGCUGGCGGCGUGCCUAAUACAUGCAAGUCGAGCGAACGGACGAGAAGCUUGCUUCUCUGAUGUUAGCGGCGGACGGGUGAGUAACACGUGGAUAACCUACCUAUAAGACUGGGAUAACUUCGGGAAACCGGAGCUAAUACCGGAUAAUAUUUUGAACCGCAUGGUUCAAAAGUGAAAGACGGUCUUGCUGUCACUUAUAGAUGGAUCCGCGCUGCAUUAGCUAGUUGGUAAGGUAACGGCUUACCAAGGCAACGAUGCAUAGCCGACCUGAGAGGGUGAUCGGCCACACUGGAACUGAGACACGGUCCAGACUCCUACGGGAGGCAGCAGUAGGGAAUCUUCCGCAAUGGGCGAAAGCCUGACGGAGCAACGCCGCGUGAGUGAUGAAGGUCUUCGGAUCGUAAAACUCUGUUAUUAGGGAAGAACAUAUGUGUAAGUAACUGUGCACAUCUUGACGGUACCUAAUCAGAAAGCCACGGCUAACUACGUGCCAGCAGCCGCGGUAAUACGUAGGUGGCAAGCGUUAUCCGGAAUUAUUGGGCGUAAAGCGCGCGUAGGCGGUUUUUUAAGUCUGAUGUGAAAGCCCACGGCUCAACCGUGGAGGGUCAUUGGAAACUGGAAAACUUGAGUGCAGAAGAGGAAAGUGGAAUUCCAUGUGUAGCGGUGAAAUGCGCAGAGAUAUGGAGGAACACCAGUGGCGAAGGCGACUUUCUGGUCUGUAACUGACGCUGAUGUGCGAAAGCGUGGGGAUCAAACAGGAUUAGAUACCCUGGUAGUCCGCGCCGUAAACGAUGAGUGCUAAGUGUUAGGGGGUUUCCGCCCCUUAGUGCUGCAGCUAACGCAUUAAGCACUCCGCCUGGGGAGUACGACCGCAAGGUUGAAACUCAAAGGAAUUGACGGGGACCCGCACAAGCGGUGGAGCAUGUGGUUUAAUUCGAAGCAACGCGAAGAACCUUACCAAAUCUUGACAUCCUUUGACAACUCUAGAGAUAGAGCCUUCCCCUUCGGGGGACAAAGUGACAGGUGGUGCAUGGUUGUCGUCAGCUCGUGUCGUGAGAUGUUGGGUUAAGUCCCGCAACGAGCGCAACCCUUAAGCUUAGUUGCCAUCAUUAAGUUGGGCACUCUAAGUUGACUGCCGGUGACAAACCGGAGGAAGGUGGGGAUGACGUCAAAUCAUCAUGCCCCUUAUGAUUUGGGCUACACACGUGCUACAAUGGACAAUACAAAGGGCAGCGAAGCCGCGAGGUCAAGCAAAUCCCAUAAAGUUGUUCUCAGUUCGGAUUGUAGUCUGCAACUCGACUACAUGAAGCUGGAAUCGCUAGUAAUCGUAGAUCAGCAUGCUACGGUGAAUACGUUCCCGGGUCU